CAGUAGCCGCGGUAAUACGGAGGGUGCAAGCGUUAAUCGGAAUUACUGGGCGUAAAGCGUGCGUAGGCGGUGAGUUAAGUCUGCUGUGAAAUCCCCGGGCUCAACCUGGGAAUGGCAGUGGAUACUGGCUCGCUAGAGUGUGUCAGAGGAUGGUGGAAUUCCCGGUGUAGCGGUGAAAUGCGUAGAGAUCGGGAGGAACAUCAGUGGCGAAGGCGGCCAUCUGGGACAACACUGACGCUGAGGCACGAAAGCGUGGGGAGCAAACAGGAUUAGAUACCCCCGUAGUCCCUGUCUCUUAUAC
rnacentral:rRNA from 1 species